CACGCAGUCGUCCGUCUUCCUCCACAUCUCCGUCUCAAGAAUACGGGUGGGGAGAAAACCAAUCCGCCGCCAACGCCGCCCCCUCAUCCCCGUCUCUCCCAAUCUUUUCUUCCCUCUCCCGCACCCCGUGGCUUCCGCCAUGGGCCGAUUGAGUGUUCCAGAAUUCUUCGUCCGCCGUCCCUCUCUGCACUCACGCAUGCAUACACCUAUCUUCCUCCUUCGCCUGGUUCGUGUACGGCUCAGAGCGGAGCAGGGGACUGAUUGAUGUAAGGUUCGGCUUCCAAUCCAUCCAGGCCGCCGGCCGGUCCACCGAGGGGAGAGUCCAAGUCGUCCAGGCGAAACCCUAGACGCCGCGGGGAUGGAGCAUCUCCGCCGCCUCGCCCCCAGUUCUUGCUCGCCUCAGCUCGCGGGGAUGGAGCAGGACGGCGCCGCCCAGGCCCAGGACGACGGCGCCGUGGACGGAUGGGCGCGCGACGGCACGGAGACCCCUCUCCUACGGCACCCCGGUGGAGUGCCCCGGGGCCGUAGACCCCCCUCCUUGCCGGCGUCUCCGCGGCCGCCUCCAUGCAGCCGCUCGUGCGCGACCCUCAACUACGACUCGGUGGGGAGGAGCCCUUCGACGACCUUGACGCCUGCUCCGUCGACCACAACCACUGCGUCCGCAAGAAAGGUCCCAGCUCCAAUAUUAAAAAUCAGUGCACCUGAACUGCGACACAAUUUUUCUCAUUUGGAACUGCGGUUAUAAGGUAUCUAAUCUGAAAGCUAUGCUUUCACGAAAUCAUCAGGAUUUUGACCUCCAUACGAAAUCUGCAAGGGUAACAACAACAAAGGAAACUGGUGUAAGAUUGAGUACUAAGGCUCGAAGACAAGCUACCAUCAAGAUUAUGUCUCGACAAUGAAGUAUAGUGAUUUUUUUUACCGAACUCACAGAAGUAGAUUGUGUAUCCCAUCCAACGUUCAACCUAAUGGACAUCGAGGGAACCACUUUGAGUCCACAAUUGUUUGUGCGGAGGAAAAUGCAUGGUACUAAAGCUAACCUUCCUCUGGUCCAGAUGAAAUCAAGGCAACUGGGUCUUCUAUCUUCAAGUAUCAAUUUGUUAGUUUUUCUUGGCUUCAGUGCAUCCCCUCAUAUUACUGUUUUUAAACUACAUUGCAGUGUGCUAAUUAUUUUCUAAAAAAAUUACAGUGUAUUAAUUAAGUAAAACUUAUUUGAAGUAGAUGUAGCACGACCUUUAGGAUUUUGCACACGGACCACACCAAUUUCGAGUAGUCGUACUUCUACAUAUCUGCUCACCAAAUAAGCUGCAUGGUUAUUAUGAACGUGGUAAACUCUGAGGCUAUUUUCUUUAUUAGUCCGAAAAGAAACUAAACUAUUUGUGUGGGGCCAAAGAAGCGUACUUUCAAUAAAAAUUGCAAUUGAUUGGGCAAGAGAAAUCAACUCAAUACAAUAAUUUUCCAUAUGAAGUAGUAAGACUACCCACAGUGGGAGUAACAUAGGUCGUAACAUCACAUAUAUCUAGGCAAAAUAGAUGAUGUGGCAAGUAAUUAAUGAAGAAAGAGAGUCAUGUGGUAACAUAGCUAGUUACUAGUAGUAUGC